rnacentral:rRNA from 1 species
UACAGAAAGGGCAAGCGUUGUUCGGAAUUACUGGACGUAAAAGGCUCGUAGGCGGCCAACUAAGUCGGAUGUGAAAUCCCCAGGCUCAACCUGGGAACUGCAUCCGAUACUGGAUGGCUUGAAUUCAAGAAAGGGAUGCAGAAUUCCAAGUGUAGCGGUGAAAUGCGUAGAGAUCGGGAGGAACACCAGUGGCGAAGGCGACUCUUUGGUCUGUAACUGACGCUGAGGCGCGAAAGCGUGGGGAGCAAACAGG